ACAUGCAAGUCGAGCGGUAGCACAGAGAGCUUGCUCUCGGGUGACGAGCGGCGGACGGGUGAGUAAUGUCUGGGAAACUGCCUGAUGGAGGGGGAUAACUACUGGAAACGGUAGCUAAUACCGCAUAACGUCGCAAGACCAAAGUGGGGGACCUUCGGGCCUCAUGCCAUCAGAUGUGCCCAGAUGGGAUUAGCUGGUAGGUGGGGUAACGGCUCACCUAGGCGACGAUCCCUAGCUGGUCUGAGAGGAUGACCAGCCACACUGGAACUGAGACACGGUCCAGACUCCUACGGGAGGCAGCAGUGGGGAAUAUUGCACAAUGGGCGCAAGCCUGAUGCAGCCAUGCCGCGUGUGUGAAGAAGGCCUUCGGGUUGUAAAGCACUUUCAGCGGGGAGGAAGGCGGUGAGGUUAAUAACCUCAUCGAUUGACGUUACCCGCAGAAGAAGCACCGGCUAACUCCGUGCCAGCAGCCGCGGUAAUACGGAGGGUGCAAGCGUUAAUCGGAAUUACUGGGCGUAAAGCGCACGCAGGCGGUCUGUCAAGUCGGAUGUGAAAUCCCCGGGCUCAACCUGGGAACUGCAUUCGAAACUGGCAGGCUAGAGUCUUGUAGAGGGGGGUAGAAUUCCAGGUGUAGCGGUGAAAUGCGUAGAGAUCUGGAGGAAUACCGGUGGCGAAGGCGGCCCCCUGGACAAAGACUGACGCUCAGGUGCGAAAGCGUGGGGAGCAAAACAGGAUUAGAUACCCUGGUAGUCCACGCUGUAAACGAUGUCGAUUUGGAGGUUGUGCCCUUGAGGCGUGGCUUCCGGAGCUAACGCGUUAAAUCGACCGCCUGGGGAGUACGGCCGGCAAGGUUAAAACUCAAAUGAAUUGACGGGGGGCCCGCACAAGCSGGUGGAGCAUGUGGUUUAAUUCGAUGCAACGCGAAGAAMCCUUACCUGGUCUUGACAUCCACAGAACUUUCCAGAGAUGGAUUGGUGCCUUCGGGAACUGUGAGACAGUGCUGSCAUGGCUGUCGUCAGCUCGUGCUUGUGGAAAUGUUGGGUUAAGGUCCCGSCAACCGA
rnacentral:rRNA from 1 species